AGCAUAUCAAUAAGCGGAGGAAAAGAAACCAACAGGGAUUGCCCCCAGUAACGGCGAGUGAAGCGGCAACAGCUCAAAUUUGAAAUCUGGCCUCGGCCCGAGUUGUAAUUUGCAGAGGAUGCUUUUGGCGCGGCGCCCUCCGAGUUCCCUGGAACGGGACGCCACAGAGGGUGAGAGCCCCGUAUGGUCGGACGCCAAGCCUGUGCAAAGCUCCUUCGACGAGUCGAGUAGUUUGGGAAUGCUGCUCAAAAUGGGAGGUAAAUCUCUUCUAAAGCUAAAUACUGGCCAGAGACCGAUAGCGCACAAGUAGAGUGAUCGAAAGAUGAAAAGCACCUUGAAAAGGGGGUUAAACAGUACGUGAAAUUGUUGAAAGGGAAGGGCUCGUGACCAGACUUGUGCCAGGCGGCUCAUCCGGCGUUCUCGCCGGUGCACUCCGCCUGGCUCAGGCCAGCAUCGGUUCUUGCCGGGGGACAAGAGCGGCGGGAACGUGGCCCCCCUCGGGGGGUGUUAUAGCCCGCCGCACGAUGCCCUGGCGGGGACCGAGGUCUGCGCUCCGCAAGGAUGCUGGCGUAAUGGUCACCAACCACCCGUCUUGAAACACGGACCAAGGAGUCGUCCAUCAGAGCGAGCGUUUGGGUGUCAAACCCGCACGCGUAAUGAAAGUGAACGCAGGUGAGAGCUUCGGCGCAUCAUCGACCGAUCCUGAUGUACUCGGAUGGAUUUGAGUAAGAGUUUUGCUGGACGGACCCGAAAGACAGUGAACUAUGCUUGUAUAGGGUGAAGCCAGAGGAAACUCUGGUGGAGGCUCGCAGCGGUUCUGACGUGCAAAUCGAUCGUCAAAUAUGAGCAUGGGGGCGAAAGACUAAUCGAACUGUCUAGUAGCUGGUUACCGCCGAA
rnacentral:rRNA from 1 species